rnacentral:rRNA from 1 species
AACGAACGCUGGCGGCAUGCCUAACACAUGCAAGUCGAACGAGACCUUCGGGUCUAGUGGCGCACGGGUGCGUAACGCGUGGGAACCUGCCCUUAGGUUCGGAAUAACUCCCCGAAAGGGGUGCUAAUACCGGAUAAUGUCUUCGGACCAAAGAUUUAUCGCCUUUGGAUGGGCCCGCGUUGGAUUAGCUAGUUGGUAGGGUAAAAGCCUACCAAGGCGACGAUCCAUAGCUGGUCUGAGAGGAUGAUCAGCCACACUGGGACUGAGACACGGCCCAGACUCCUCCGGGAGGCAGCAGUGGGGAAUAUUGGACAAUGGGCGAAAGCCUGAUCCAGCAAUGCCGCGUGAGUGAUGAAGGCCUUAGGGUUGUAAAGCUCUUUUACCCGGGAUGAUAAUGACAGUACCGGGAGAAUAAGCUCCGGCUAACUCCGU